AGCCAUCCCUUUUUAAAAAGUUAAGUUUUCUUCCCCUUUUUUGCCAUUUUGCUUCUAAUGCCCUGUUUGCCCUCUUUGUGGGGCGAAUGUUGGUCUUGGGGGGCCUUAGGGCCACUCUUUCUUGGAAACCCCUUAGAACAGUUGCACUAAAACAAACUGUCUAUAAAUUCCUGAAAUCAACACAUUCCUUCCUUCAUACCCACAAUGUACCAGUUCCAUCCAGGCAAGGGCUCUCGGAGCCGUCCGGUUCCCCCGUCCCAGCCGGGAGUGUUUGGGGGACAGAGGGCAAGAAAGUCUGCAAGGAAGUCUCUCUGCACGUCCUGGAAAGGGUUGGAGGAUAAAACGUGUGUCACCUUUUCUCCUUCCCGCGUCCAGUGUCCUUUCAGGAGGUGGCCCUGUAUUGCCCCCAACUCAGAGGGUGGGAUCGUCUAGAUCGAGGCUCAAGAUCUCUGCGCGAGGACCUCCUGCUGGAAAUGAUUUCUGGGAACAAAGUUCCUCCAGUGUCCUUUGAGGAGGUGACCCCAUAUUGCCUCCCACAAGACUGGGAUCUUCUGGAUCAACACUAGAGAUCUCUCUGCGAGGACCUCCUGCUGGAGAUUUCUGGGACCGAAGUCUCUCCAGAUGAUGAACAAGAAAAGAAGAAUCACCCAGCAACUCCUGGGGCAACCUCAGAAGAAAUAGAUAAACAAGGAAAAAAAUCAGAGAACUGAAAAUCCAACUGAGCAGGAAUAGAUGUCACCUGAAAGAACUCUUGCAAGGGAGAAACCAA